GUGCUCCCAUGGCAACUAAUGCCACCCAGCACUAGCCACCACUAGAUCCCACCCCGUGGUGGCUGAAGAUGACAACAUCACCCAUAUAGCCAUGUAUACAGAUGAUGGCAGCCCAGCUGGUAUGCGGUGACUAAUGAAGCCACCAAGGGAGCUUAGGUACAGGGUCCUGGUUUGGUACCUGUCUGAAGAACCACCUUUCUGCUCUGUGGGGAAUCACUGGCACAGUGAAAGGUCUGAGAAAGAGACAGGGAGUCAGGACUUCCACCUAUUUAUGCAGCGAAAAGCAAACAGAAGUCCUCAAUGUGCUUUAAUGACGUCAUUGCACAGGCCAGCAGCUCUAGCAUGAAACUUUCCUCUGCAAAGCAAAUUGAGUUGCAGAGACUUACUCAUCUUCCCCAACUUCACGUGCUUUAAGAUUUCCAUAAAGCCGAGAACAUCUGUAUGAAGACUCUGUCCUUGAUGGAGAUAACUGUCAACACCAAGUCACAUGUUAUUCCACAUGAGGACAGGCACUGUCAUCUUAAUCCAGUUUUGUAUACCACAAAUUGAUUUCUCUGCAGGAGAGGAA